rnacentral:rRNA from 1 species
GACGAACGCUGGCGGCGUGCUUAACACAUGCAAGUCGAACGGAACGGCCCUGCUUUUGUGCGGUGCUCGAGUGGCGAACGGGUGAGUAACACGUGAGUAACCUGCCCUUGACUUUGGGAUAACUUCAGGACACUUGGGCUAAUACCGGCUAGGAGCUCCUGCUUCAUGGUGGGGGUUGGAAAGUUUCGGCGGUUGGGGAUGGAAUCGCGGCUUAUCAGCUUGUUGGUUGGGUAGUGGCUUACCAAGGCAUUGAGGGGUAGCCGGCCUGAGAGGGUGACCGGACCAAUCGGGACUGAGAUGAGACACAGACCCGAACGGGACGCAAGGGAGGAGAAGAGUAUACUAGAGGAGGAACGCUGAUGUAGCAACGCCGCGUGGGGGAAGACGGGAAUCGGGUAGUAUACCGCUGUCGCCUGAGACGAGACGAGAGUGACGGUAAUGGGUGAAGAAGCACCGGCUAACUACGUG